UACGAAGGGGGCUAGCGUUGCUCGGAUUGACUGGGCGUAAAGGGCGCGUAGGCGGUUCGUACAGUCAGACGUGAAAUUCCUGGGCUCAACCUGGGGGCUGCGUUUGAUACGUGCGGACUUGAGUGCCGGAGAGGGUGGCGGAAUUCCCGGUGUAGAGGUGAAAUUCGUAGAUAUCGGGAGGAACACCAGAGGCGAAGGCGGCCACCUGGACGGACACUGACGCUGAGACGCGAAAGCGUGGGGAGCAAACAGG
rnacentral:rRNA from 1 species